rnacentral:lncRNA from 1 species
AGCCUCAGUUUCUUCGCUUGUAACUCCAGACAUGCACAUCAUCUUAUCACUGGAGAUGCUGCACUUGUAGGUCCUGUUAUUUGACAGAUUAGACUUCAGCACCAGAUUCUUCUCUGCAUCAAACAGUUUCAGUGAAUCACCAUCCAUGGUUACUGAAAAACCCUUCUCCACCAGCUGACCUAUGCUCAUCAAGUUGCAAUUCAUUUCUGGAACAUACAAGACUUUUUCAAUUAUCACCCUCUUCCCAUCAUUCCC